UACGUAGGGGGCAAGCGUUGUCCGGAAUCAUUGGGCGUAAAGAGCGUGUAGGCGGUCCGGUAAGUCCGCUGUGAAAGUCGGGGGCUCAACCCUCGAAUGCCGGUGGAUACUGUCGGGCUAGAGUACGGAAGAGGCGAGUGGAAUUCCUGGUGUAGCGGUGAAAUGCGCAGAUAUCAGGAGGAACACCAAUUGCGAAGGCAGCUCGCUGGGACGUUACUGACGCUGAGGCGCGAAAGCGUGGGGAGCAAACAGG
rnacentral:rRNA from 1 species